rnacentral:rRNA from 1 species
CCCUUAGAUGUUCUGGGCAGCACGCGCGCUACAAUGGUCUUCGCAAACGGAUGCAUUCUCGAAGGAGAAUGCCAAUCUUGGAAUCUAUGCCUUGGUCGGGACAGUUGCUUGCAAUUUUUCGACUCGAACCAGGAAUUCCUUGUAAUCGUGAUUCAUCACAUCACGAUGAAUACGUCCCUGCCCUUUGUACACACCGCCCGUCGCUCCUACCGAUCGAAGAGUUAGGUGAAUUGUUUUGAUCGAUAAGAUUUGACUAUGGUCAACUCUCGUUGUGAAAUUCUGUGAAUCUGACUGUUUAGAGGAAGGAAAAGCCGUAACA